rnacentral:rRNA from 1 species
AUACGUAGGGGGCGAGCGUUGUCCGGAAUGAUUGGGCGUAAAGGGCGCGUAGGCGGCCCGGUAAGUCUGGAGUGAAAGUCCUGUCUUUAAGAUGGGAAUUGCUUUGGAUACUGUCGGGCUUGAGUGCAGGAGAGGUAAGUGGAAUUCCCAGUGUAGCGGUGAAAUGCGUAGAGAUUGGGAGGAACACCAGUGGCGAAGGCGACUUACUGGACUGUAACUGACGCUGAGGCGCGAAAGCGUGGGGAGCGAACAGGAUUAGAUGCCCUGGUAGUCCACGCGGUAAACGAUGAAUGCUAGGUGUUGUGGGUAUCGACCCCUGCAGUGCCGGAGUCAACACAAUAAGCAUUCCGCCUGGGGAGUACGGCCGCAAGGUUGAAACUCAAAUGAAUUGACGGGG